rnacentral:misc_RNA from 1 species
GAUUUUCUGAUAAAAUUGUUUGAUUUUAAAUCAGAAUUCAAGUUCACAUAAACAAUAUGGGAAUGAAUCCCAUUUUGAAGACUUGCAUAGAAGAUGUGUUCUAUUUACACAAAAUGAAGGGAAAAUUCCAUUUUUUUUCUCCAUAACUAUUAAUGUCUUAAACAUGUUGUGAUGUUGCAAGUGUUAAUUGACAGGUACAUGUAUGUAAUUAAAUUGCAAUGAGUAUAUAUAUUGUCUUUUUAUCUUAUAUACAGUAUAAUAGGUCAAAUUUCUACAAAAUGUACUUCCAAACUUUUUAUGCUAUAGCUAAUUACUUAUAGUUAUCACAUUAUCUUUUAUAGAAUUGUUAUUUGUUAAUGAGAUUCAGGUUGUUUGGUAAUCUUGUGAAGAUGAUGAAUAUAUUCAUUUCUAAGAC